UGGGGAAUAUUGGGCAAUGGGCGCAAGCCUGACCCAGCAACGCCGCGUGAAGGAAGAAGGCCCUCGGGUUGUAAACUUCUUUUAACAGGGACGAAGAAAGUGACGGUACCUGUUGAAUAAGCCACGGCUAACUACGUGCCAGCAGCCGCGGUAAUACGUAGGUGGCAAGCGUUAUCCGGAUUUACUGGGUGUAAAGGGCGUGUAGGCGGGAGAGCAAGUCAGACGUGAAAUUCCAGGGCUCAACCCUGGAACUGCGUUUGAAACUGUUCUUCUUGAGUGAUGGAGAGGCAGGCGGAAUUCCGUGUGUAGCGGUGAAAUGCGUAGAUAUACGGAGGAACACCAGUGGCGAAGGCGGCCUGCUGGACAUUAACUGACGCUGAGGCGCGAAAGCGUGGGGAGCAAACAGG
rnacentral:rRNA from 1 species